rnacentral:rRNA from 1 species
CGGGAAGUAGCGAACGGGUGAGUAACGCGUGGGCAACCAACCUUACACAGGGGGAUAACGCAGAGAAAUUUGCGCUAAUACCGCAUAAGCGCACAGGAUCACAUGAUCUGGUGUGAAAAACUCCGGUGGUGUAAGACGGGCCCGCGUCUGAUUAGCUAGUUGGUGAGGUAAAGGCUCACCAAGGCGACGAUCAGUAGCCGACCUGAGAGGGUGAUCGGCCACAUUGGGACUGAGACACGGCCCAAACUCC